rnacentral:lncRNA from 1 species
ACCUUUUGUAGAAUGCUGACUGAAGAACCUGCAUCGCGGAGUGCACUAGGGUAAUCAAUGCCUCCUAUCAAGCAUGGUACUAGAAACUUUCCACGAUCACUCUUCUUCUUAGUGUAAUCCUCUGUCUCAUCUUCUCUAUGAUCUGGUGGAACAUUCUCAUAAUGUCUUCUUCAGUCUCCUUAGUUUCUCUAAAGAACAUCCAAAGCCUGUGGGUAAAGUAAGCCUCCUCAAAUGGCUUAUCCAUUGAGAUUCUUAGAAUCCUCUUUGUGAAACUAUCCAUCUCCUUAUUAUUAGUGAGUUCCAUUAAUCAACAACAAUCCCCCAAAAACCAUGCCCCAACACACACACACAACACAUAGUCCCAGGGUAAAAAUGCAUGCAACUGAACAACGCGGAAGCAAUGCAACAAUGCAUGAAUGCAAUCUCACUACAGAGACUCAUCUCAACUCGUAGGACCAAGACAACCACAAGCCUUGUCCUAAACAACUCUCGUCUAGACUCGAUUCUAGACCCAUA